rnacentral:rRNA from 1 species
CGGGCCCGCGGUCGGCCUUGUGCCGUCCAGCACCCGCCAGAGGACCACAAAACUCCAGUCAGUGAACGUCUCAGUCUGAAAAACAAGUUAAUAAACUAAAACUUUCAACAACGGAUCUCUUGGUUCUGGCAUCGAUGAAGAACGCAGCGAAAUGCGAUAAGUAAUGUGAAUUGCAGAAUUCAGUGAAUCAUCGAAUCUUUGAACGCACAUUGCGCCCCUUGGUAUUCCGGGGGGCAUGCCUGUUCGAGCGUCAUUUCAACCCUCAAGCUCUGCUUGGUAUUGGGCUCCGUCCUCAGGGACGCGCCUCAAAGACCUCGGCGGUGGCGUCUUGCCUCAAGCGUAGUAGAAAACACCUCGCUUUGGAGCGCAUGGCGUCGCCCGCCGGACGAACCUUUGAAUUUUUUCUCAAGGUUGACCUCGGAUCAGGUAGGGAUACCCGCUGAACUUAAGCAUAUCAUAACCCCGGAAGG